AUUGAGAAAUCAAAAUAGAAAUGAAGAAGCAUUUCGCUUACGCAUUUCUUCUAAUUUUCUUGUUGCAGCAUGUAUGUUUAUUCGUUCAAGUUGAAGCAGGGGAUGGGUUCAUUAGGACCAGAGGAAUACAUUUCAUGUUGAAUGGUGACCCUUUUUAUGCUAAUGGAUUUAAUGCCUACUGGUUAAUGUAUAUUGCUGCUGACCCAUCUCAAAGAUCUAAAGUAACAGAUGCAUUUAGAGAAGCUUCGAGCCAUGGACUCACUGUUGCUAGAACUUGGGCUUUUAGUGAUGGUGGAUACAGGCCAUUACAAUAUGCUCCUGGAUCUUACAAUGAGGACAUGUUUAAGGGUUUGGAUUUUGUGAUAUCUGAAGCAAGAAGGUAUGGGAUUAAGGUUAUAUUAAGCUUUGCAAACAAUUACGAGAGCUUUGGGGGAAAGAAACAGUAUGUGAAUUGGGCUAGAAGUCAUGGACAGUACCUCAAUUCAGAUGAUGAUUUCUUCAAAAACUCAGUUGUUAAGGGCUAUUACAAGAAUCAUAUUAUGACUGUAUUGAACAGAUACAACAGAUUCAGUGGAGUUGUUUAUAAGAAUGAUCCUACAAUCAUGGCGUGGGAACUUAUGAAUGAACCUAGAUGCACAUCAGAUCAUUCAGGAAGAACCAUUCAGGCAUGGGCAACAGAGAUGGCCUCUUAUGUUAAGUCCAUUGACAGAAACCAUUUGUUAGAAGUUGGCUUAGAAGGAUUCUACGGGCAAACAACUCCGCAGAGGAGAAAUCUGAAUCCUAAUUUUGACAUAGGAACUGAUUUCAUCGCCAACAACCGCAUCCCUGGCAUUGAUUUUGCCACUGUUCAUGCCUAUCCUGAUCAAUGGGUAACAAACUCAAAUGAUCAAGGCCAACUAUCAUUUCUGAACAAUUGGCUAGACUCCCACAUUCAAGAUGCUCAAUAUAUUCUCCGUAAGCCAUUGCUGAUCACAGAGUUUGGAAAAUCUUCGAAAGAUUCAGGUUUCAGCUCCUACCAAAGGGACCUUCUUUACAAUACAGUCUACUACAAGAUAUAUUCAUCAGCUAAGCGCGGGGGAGCAGCAGCAGGGGGACUCUUCUGGCAACUUUUAAGUGAAGGAAUGAACUCAUUUGGAGAUGGAUAUGAGAUUAUCUUAAGCCAGAACCCUUCAACUGCAAAUUUAAUUGCUCAACAAUCUCAUAAGCUGUACCAGAUUCGGAAAAUAUUUGCAAGAAUGAGAAACAUUCAGAGGUGGAAGAGAGCAAAGGCUGCUAGAAGGAGUGAUUGGACAAAUAGGAACAAAGGAAAGCGAAUCGGAAACUAAUGAUAAGAUGCUUUACGUUUGAAGCUAUAACUUAUGAUUUAAAGUAGUGUGUGUGACAGAAAAAACUGUCCUGAAGGAUUUUGUAUGACAUAUAGUGUUUGCAAAAGCCCUCUUAGAGAUGAUUAUGGUUCAUCCAGGUGGCUUAAUAGAGAUUAUUACUUACGGUAACUAUGUUGUUUUCUGGAUACUUGACUACUUGUAUUGUUACUUGCAUGUUUGUUGUUUUCCAAUUAU
rnacentral:misc_RNA from 1 species